CUAUGAGUGCUUCGCUUUGAAUCUGAGUUAGGAUUGGAUGAUGAUGCCUUUUCUACAUUUCUCCCUGAAGCAACAGGCGAAACUCCAGAAGUUUGGUGAGAUGAAGAUUAAAGAGGAGGAGCUGAAGGUGCCAAUGUCGAGAGUGCGCUAAUAGUUUCGCCUGAAGUUUGGUGAGAUGAAGAUGAAAGAGGAGGAGCUGAAGGUGCCAAUGUCGUGAAGCAACAGGCGAAACUCCAGAAGUUUGGUGAGAUGAAGAUGAAGGAGGAGGAGCUGAAGCUGCCAAUGUCGAGAGUGCGCUAAUAUUACUACUGACAUUGAUGCUGCUUCCACCAUGGGACCCAUCAACUGCUGCCUUCGGAGGAGGUGGCCUCUCAAUCUCCAUAAUCCCUUCAAGCAUCUGCACAAUUUUCCCCAUAGUUGGCC
rnacentral:lncRNA from 1 species